CCUAGACUAAGCAAGCCCCAGCCAUUUCUAUUCUUCAUCCCCCAUCUCUAACUCUUCUUUUGUUUUCACAAUUGGCCGAAUAAAUCCAGAGCCAUACGCCUAUCUUUCCCAUGCUCCGGUCACUCAAACAGAAAGUUACAUAACUCUCUGUGCCGACCACCUAGCCUCUCAACCACGAGGACAACCACUCCGACAGUAAGAGAUCGCAACAAUAAGGAUGCAAAACAACUUACUACGAUCUCACCCAACUUCGGCGACAGAUGUUCCGACAACGACGAGACAAUAAGCGAGGAAGGUUUCAUGUGGGCAGCUCGGUUGGGGGUGCUGAAAGGGCGUGCACGAGUUGCUGCUAGGUUGAAGUGAUCCACGUGGGAGGCAUGGGUGACUGUGUGGAGUUGUUGCCACCGGGUCGGAUCUUGUAACGGGUCUGGAUCCGAGUCAUGUAACCUGUAAAAAAAUAGUUAUAUUAAUAAUAAUAAUAAUAAUAAUAUAUAAUAAUAUUAAAAGA